GCACCUGUGUUGUAACGGUAGCCUCCCGUCUUGGUAAGACGGUCGCGUGGGUUCGACUCCCGCCUGGUGUU
rnacentral:tRNA from 1 species